GAAAUUUGGAACCCCAGUCUCAGUCGCUCGGCAAGGCUCCGUCUUAGCCUCAGACGGACGUUCAGGAAGCUGGGUGAAAUGAAUAAGAGGAAUGAUGCCUUACGUUCUCGCUCGCUGGCAAGGCUCCGUCUGAGCCUAAGAUGAACAUUUAGGAAGCUCGAUGGCUGAUGUCGCAGUUGAUGAAUCGUCUCCACCUUCCGACUUGGUUCUGGACGGAGCGGAUGGAUCCAUCCGAUCGAAUGGAAUGCUGGGUCGGGCCGUUUCCUCAUGCGGCAUGGAGGAGAAUUCCUCCGUCUAAGAUAUGGACAUCACUAGCUCUUCUCCAUCGGAUAUGGAUUUGACCAAUUGUGAGGUUCCGAAUGAAUCCUGCCCCAACGUCUUCGUUCCAGACGUUAACAUGAAUCGCGAAACGGCCAUUCACAAACAACCGGUUGCCUCCCAGGUGUUCAGAAAUUCCAACUGCAGCCUCUACCAAGCCUCCACCUACAGGUUUCUGCACUCCAGGUGCUUGUGGAAAUUCCUCAAAGAUGCAUAAAUCAGAUUUAUCUCAAUUUGAGCUUCAAAACCAAAGGUCCGGCUGUCGUAUUCCACCCACAAACUCCAACGAAGGGCCUAAUGAUUGGAAAGAAAGAAUCGUGAAAGCGGGCUGCGAAGUGAGAACUGGCUGGAUGGGAAAACAUAUUUAGGAUUGAUUAAAUUACGGAAAAAAGAUUUUUGGAGGGGGGACAAAAUACAAAAAAUAUUCCCAAAAUAUCAAAAAUAUUCCCUCAAACACUUUUUUUUUAGUGUGGGCAAUUUUUUUUUUUUUUUUAGUAGCCCACCCUGGCUUCAACUUGGAUCCGCCACUAACUCAAUCAAUAGUUAUCAUAGCAUGGUUGACACUGCUUUUCCCAAAAAAAUUUAAGUUAUUUUUAAAAGGCAGCAAAAAAUAGAAGUCAAAUAAAAUUAUGAUUGCGGCCACAUAAAGAAAAGUAGAAAGAAAGAUGUCUCAAACAGAGCUUAAGAAUAAUUAAGAAUCUAGAUGACUCUGGUUCAAGUUUUUCUUUUUAGCUUAAGAAGAACUAUUUUUUUAAGCUCCUAGCUUAGCAUUGCUGUCUUGUUAUGUGCUAUUGAGUAAAUUAGAUAAUUGUUGAAUAAAAUAUGUUUAUGCGCUACAGAGAUUUGAGGAAGCUAAAGAAGAAUAAACAGUUGGUGUAUUUUCAGUUCUUGAAGGAGCUGAGGUUAUAUUCACAGGAUAAAGGCUGACAUUAGAUGGAUCUGUUUUUUCGCUGAAAAAGAAAUGAUACUAUUUCAAGCAAAGAAAAUUUGAAAUUAUACAAUCAGAGAGUUCAAAUUUGAAGCACCAAUCAGUAUAGAGGAAGGCUAAAUGCUCGCCACAACCAUCACGGCUGGCUCCAAAAUGCGUCAUCAACCAUCAUCUGUAAGUCAAAAUACUCUUCAACCUGAAAACAAUCUCCUCCGCAGUCUCCAUCAAGCCCAGCUAUCGUCUCCUCUACUCCGCCACCAACGCAAUUGAAAGCACCGCCAACAUCUGCCGGCAACUCGAGUUCUUCAUCAUGUUUCGAUCCGAUUUCUCCGCCGCCGAGCAUUUCCCACAUCCUUCUUCGCCUCCGACUACGGGCAACACCGAGGCCGAUGUAUUAUUUACAGCACCAAAGCGGUGAAAUGCCGACGACGCGAAGGUUGCUGCCAGCACAAUCACCGUUCCAGCA